CCUACGGGGGGCUGCAGUGGGGAAUUUUGGACAAUGGGCGCAAGCCUGAUCCAGCUAUUCCGCGUGUGGGAUGACGGCCUUCGGGUUGUAAACCACUUUUGUAGAGAACGAAAAGUCUGUUGAUAAUACCGAUAGAUGAUGACGGUACUCUAAGAAUAAGCACCGGCUAACUACGUGCCAGCAGCCGCGGUAAUACGUAGGGUGCGAGCGUUAAUCGGAAUUACUGGGUGUAAAGGGUGUGCAGGCGGUUUUGCAAGAUGGAUGUGAAAGCCCCGGGCUUAACCUGGGAAAGCCAUACAUGACUGCAAGACUAGAGUGCGUCAGAGGGGGGUGGAAUUCCAAGUGUAGCAGUGAAAUGCGUAGAUAUUUGGAAGAACACCGAUGGCGAAGGCAGCCCCCUGGGACGCAACUGACGCUGAGGCACGAAAGUGCGGGGAUCGAACAGGAUUAGAUACCCGGGUAGUC
rnacentral:rRNA from 1 species